rnacentral:rRNA from 1 species
UACGUAGGGAGCAAGCGUUGUCCGGAAUCAUUGGGCGUAAAGCGCGCGUAGGUGGCCUCAUAAGUCCGCUGUGAAAGUCAAAGGCUCAACCUUUGAAAGCCGGUGGAUACUGUGGGGCUAGAGUACGGAAGAGGCGAGUGGAAUUCCUGGUGUAGCGGUGGAAUGCGCAGAUAUCAGGAGGAACACCAAUUGCGAAGGCAGCUCGCUGGGACGUGACUGACGCUGAGACGCGAAAGCGUGGGGAGCGAACAGG